rnacentral:rRNA from 1 species
UACAGAGGUCUCAAGCGUUGUUCGGAUUCAUUGGGCGUAAAGGGUGCGUAGGUGGCGUGGUAAGUCGGGUGUGAAAUUUCGGAGCUUAACUCCGAAACUGCAUUCGAUACUGCCGUGCUUGAGGACUGGAGAGGAGACUGGAAUUUACGGUGUAGCAGUGAAAUGCGUAGAUAUCGAGAGGAACACCGGUGGCGAAGGCGGGUCUCUGGACAGUUCCUGACGCUGAGGCACGAAGGCCAGGGGAGCAAACGGG